GACGUAGGGGACUAGCGUUGUUCGGAAUUACUGGGCGUAAAGCGCGCGCAGGCGGCCUAUCAAGUUGGAAGUGAAAGCCCAGGGCUCAACCUUGGAACUGCUUUCAAAACUAGUAGGCUAGAGUUCGGUAGGGGGUGAUAGAAUUCCUAGUGUAGAGGUGAAAUUCUUAGAUAUUAGGAGGAAUACCGGUGGCGAAGGCGAUCACCUGGACCGAUACUGACGCUGAGGCGCGAAAGCGUGGGGAGCAAACAGGAUUAGAUACCCUGGUAGUCCACGCUGUAAACGAUGAGUGCUAGACAUCGGAUGAUUAUCAUUCGGUCUCGAAGCUAACGCGUUAAGCACUCCGCCUGGGGAGUACGGCCGCAAGGUUAAA
rnacentral:rRNA from 1 species